AGUUGUUGUGGAGCAGCUGUUGAACUUUUAGGUGUGGCCUAUGCAAUUGCAUAUUACAACUUGUAACAUUUCCCUUUGUAGAUUGGGAGUAUAAAGUCUGCUGCUGCUAUAGUACAUGCUGAUUCAGUAGGGACUGAACUCACCACAGUCACAACUGCAGACUCACAGCCUGCUGACACAGCCCCCAAAACACACUUCACUGGCACAGACACCCUGUCCAACAUGCCCGUCUCAGAUGAUAAUUUGCAGAGUGAGCGCUCGAAGGUAAGCGCAUAAGUGCCCCAGACUGGGUCAGUUUGUGGAUCUGCACUAUGUAUUCAUGAUUGUCAAAGUUUCCAGUGUCUGGUUCCAAAGUCAAAUGAACAUUGAAUUAUACUCUUGCAUAGCCCAAAAACGUCACUUCUACAUCUAUUUGUUGCUAUACUAAUACUUCAAGCAUAAUAUUGGCCCACAUAAGUAUGGACACUAAAGCAUUUCUCAUGUUCUGUACUUUAAAUUUGAAAUAAAAACAAAGACAAUGUGGAUACAUGGUGUUUUGAUGUAACUAGGAAAGACUUACACAUUUGUUUCUCAUCAAAACAGUGCUAUAAAGUAGAGUAAGGUAAUUACUUAAACUAUAAAGAGAUCAAUACACAUAGCUUAUGUUGGUAGCAUGCGCAUGAUGGUUUGAGGCUGACUUGAUAACUCUGACUUUAGUCGAUUUACUAAUCCAUACCGCAUGACCGUAACAAAGACAAGUCUGGUUUCCAAACCUGCAUUUUUUUGCUGGCACCCUGUCAUAUUUACAUUUAAAAGGUUUGUGAUGCGUUUUCAUUAUAUUGUUUCAAAGUACUGGUGUACAGAACAAAAAUUCAUUUUCAACAUGAAAAUCUUAUCCCUAGUGUCAGUCUGUCUGAAGUAAUAGACCAUUUCAGGCUACUUAAAUCCAAAUUAAU